UACGUAGGCAGCGAGCGUUGUUCGGAAUUACUGGGCGUAAAGAGUGUGUAGGCGGUGCUCUAAGUCUGUUGUGAAAUCUCCCGGCUUAACCGGGAGGGUGCGGCGGAAACUGGAGUGCUUGAGGGUGGGAGAGGUAAGCGGAAUUCCUGGUGUAGCGGUGAAAUGCGUAGAUAUCAGGAGGAACACCUGUGGUGUAGACAGCUUACUGGACCACUUCUGACGCUGAGACACGAAAGCGUGGGUAGCAAACAGG
rnacentral:rRNA from 1 species